rnacentral:rRNA from 1 species
AACGAACGCUGGCGGCGUGGAUAAGACAUGCAAGUCGGACGAGAUUUUUCGUUGUAGCAAUACGAUGGAAAGUCUAGUGGCGAACGGGUGCUUAACACGUGGGCAACCUGCCAAGAAGUGGGGGACAGCUCGCCGAAAGGCGAAUUAAUACCGCAUGUGAUUAGAGAGGACAUCCUUUCCAAAUUAAAGUCGGGGCAACCUGACGCUUCUUGGGGGGCCCGCGGCCUAUCAGCUAGUUGGUGAGGUAACGGCUCACCAAGGCUUUGACGGGUAGCUGGUCUGAGAGGACGACCAGCCACACUGGGACUGAGACACGGCCCAGACACCUACGGGUGGCAGCAGUCGAGAAUUUUUCUCAAUGGGGGAAACCCUGAAGGAGCGACGCCGCGUGGAGGAUGAAGGUCUUCGGAUUGUAAACUCCUGUCAUUGGGGAACAAGGUGCAUACGUUAACUGCGUGUGCAUUGAUAGUACCCGAAGAGGAAGAGACGGCUAACUCUGUGCCAGCAGCCGCGGUAAUAC